rnacentral:rRNA from 1 species
GGUUUUUUGUGUUGAUGAAAAAUCUGGCCUGCCCAAUGAAGGUUUAAUGGCCGCAGUAUUUUGACUGUGCUAAGGUAGCAUAAUCAUUAGUCUUGUAAUUUGAGACUGGUAUGAAAGGUUGGACGAGGGAAUAACUGUCUUUGUUGUAUUUAGUUGAAGUUGGUAGUGUUGUGAAAAGGCAACUAAGGAACUGAGGGACGAGAAGACCCUAUUGAGUUUUAUAGGUUUGUUGUAUGGUGAUUAUAUAUUUAUGAUAUAAUAUGGAAAAUCUAUUUUGCUGGGGCGGUACUGAGAGAUAGAUAUCUCUUGGAAAGUAUGGAGAAAUAAAUUAUGAGCCAAGUAAUAUGGUUUAUUUGAUAAUGGGAUUAAAUUACUGUAGGGAUAACAGCGUAAUAUUAUUGGAGAGUUCUUAUUGAUAAUAAAUUUUGCGACCUCGAUGUUGAAUUAAAAUUUCUGUUUGGUGAAGGGGCUAAAUUGGAUAGUCUGUUCGACUAUUAAAUUUUUACA